ensembl:lncRNA
CUGGCAAAAUAUAUAAUCUGUAUUUGAAUUACAGUAGUUUGGUGACUGAGCAUUGUUUUGUUCCAGACAGAGCUAAGAGUUUCUGAAUAAAUGCAGGGGAUAAUUCACUCAAAUAUAAAAAAUACUGUCAUCAUUUACAGUUGACAAUAGCCACUGACUUCCAUAGUAUUUUUUAUUUUUAUUUUUUGCCAUACUUUGGAAGUCAACGGCUACCAUCAGCUGUUUGGUUACCAACAUUCUUCAAAAUAUCUUCUUUUGUGCUCAGCGGAAGAAAGAAACUCACACAGGUUUGGAACAAGUGGAGGGUGAGCAAAUGAUGACAGAAAUUUCAUUUUUGGGUGAACUACUUUAAGGUGCUUCAGAGGACAAAGCAGAUAAACUUCGGUCAACCAUAUGCCACUAUGGUCUCAGACUGUAAGAGAGCUAUAAAUGGUUUAUUGUUUGAUAAUUAAAAAGUUAUCAUGAUACUUCAAAUAGUUUCAGGCUAUGUGAACACAUAGAUGGGAACAAAAAUUGGGAACAAAAAGUCUUAAAAAAAAACUAGCAUCAAAUAAUGUAGUUCUGGCAUGACUGUCAAAUUAAUUUCCUUUUAAAUUUUCAUGAUAAGCAAAGAGGAACUGAAAGAAGUUCUUAAGCACCACUUGAACUAAGUGUCCUCUGCUGUGCAAAAAUGCAAAUAAAAGAUUUCACUUUUCAGCUUUAGGUGAUUAAAUCUAUAAAACGAUUUGCAAAGAUUUAAAUCCCAACACUUAAAACUGCCAGUGCUUCACUGAAAUGUCUAUCUCACAUUAUAUCUGGAUGUCCAGAGCCCCCUGCUGACAGAAAAAUUCAUAUCUCAGUGAAAAGUACUAUGAACUACAGAAACUACAGUAAAUUGUUUACUCAUUCAUUACUUUACAAAUAUAUAAAAAAUGUUUCAGCUUUUAAAUAUACAUCACAAUAUACAGAAUAUGUCAAACACAAAAUGUAGCAUCUGGUCCAUAGAUAGAUAGAUAGAUAGAUAGAUAGAUAGAUAGAUAGACAUCAGAAAACUGAGGCGUUCUU